AUACUGUUGAAGGGAGAGAGAGUCAUACUGUUGAAGGGAGAGAGAGUCAUGCUGUUGAAGGGAGAGAGAGUCAUGCUGUUGAAGGGAGAGAGAGUCAUGCUGUUGAAGGGAGAGAGAGUCAUACUGUUGAAGGGAGAGAGAGUCAUGCUGUUGAAGGGAGAGAGAGUCAUACUGUUGAAGGGAGAGAGAGUCAUACUGUUGAAGGGAGAGAGAGUCAUACUGUUGAAGGGAGAGAGAGUCAUACUGUUGAAGGGAGAGUGAGCCAUACUGUUGACGAGAGAGACAGCCAUACUGUUGAAGGGAGAGAGAGUCAUACUGUUGAAGGGAGAGAGAGUCAUGCUGUUGAAGGGAGAGAGAGUCAUACUGUUGAAGGGAGAGAGAGUCAUGCUGUUGAAGGGAGAGAGAGCCAUACUGUUGAAGGGAGAGAGAGUCAUGCUGUUGAAGGGAGAGAGAGUCAUGCUGUUGAAGGGAGAGAGAGCCAUACUGUUGAAGGGAGAGAGAGUCAUGCUGUUGAAGGGAGAGAGAGUCAUACUGUUGAAGGGAGAGAGAGUCAUACUGUUGAAGGGAGAGAGAGUCAUACUGUUGAAGGGAGAGAGAGCCAUACUGUUGGCGGGAAAGAGAGACAUACUGUUGAAGGGAGAGAGAGUCAUACUUUUGGGGGUGAGAGAGCCAUACUGUUGAAGGGAGAGAGAGUCAUACUGUUGGGGGUGAGAGAGCCAUACUGUUGAAGGGAGAGAGAGCCAUACUGUUGGGGGUGAGAGAGCCAUACUGUUGAAGGGAGAGAGAGUCAUACUGUUGAAGGGAGAGAGAGCCAUGCUGUUGAACGGAGAGAGAGUCAUGCUGUUGAAGGAAGAGAGAGUCAUGCUGUUGAAGGGAGAGAGAGUCAUGCUGUUGAAGGGAGAGAGAGUCAUGCUGUUGAAGGGAGAGAGAGUCAUGCUGUUGAAGG
rnacentral:lncRNA from 1 species